rnacentral:rRNA from 1 species
GCAGAACGCGAAGAACCUUACCAGGUCUUGACAUCCCCCUGACCGGUACAGAGAUGUACCUUUCCUUCGGGACAGGGGAGACAGGUGGUGCAUGGUUGUCGUCAGCUCGUGUCGUGAGAUGUUGGGUUAAGUCCCGCAACGAGCGCAACCCUUGACUUUAGUUGCCAGCAAGUAAGGUUGGGCACUCUAGGGUGACUGCCGGUGACAAACCGGAGGAAGGUGGGGAUGACGUCAAAUCAUCAUGCCCCUUAUGACCUGGGCUACACACGUACUACAAUGGCCGGUACAACGGGAAGCGAAGGAGCGAUCUGGAGCGAAUCCUUUAAAGCCAUUCUCAGUUCGGAUUGUAGGCUGCAACUCGCCUACAUGAAGCUGGAAUCGCUAGUAAUCGCGGAUCAGCAUGCCGCGGUGAAUACGUUCCCGGGUCUUGUACACACCG